UAGUUCACCUCCUCAGCUGUGCUGAUGUCAUGAAAACCAGCCUUGACCUCACAAACUACCCCUUGAUGAUGCUGACCGCUGGACUACUAAUAUCCAACUGCCUGUGUCAUUUCUUCAUCUUUCCUUGGUGCCAACCAUGCCUGCAUAUCAGGGCAGCAUUCUAUGAUCCCAUGGCUCUCACAUCGACAGACCACAACACUAAGCCAACAAUGAUACGGCGUCCACCAGCAGUUGUUUGCUACAUUUGUGGUCGUGAAUAUGGAACAAAAUCUAUUAGCAUUCAUGAGCCACAAUGUCUGAAAAAAUGGCAUAAUGAAAACAACUUGUUGCCUAAAGAGUUAAGGAGACCAGUACCUAAAAAACCAGAAGUCAGGACCAUUACUGCCAAAGGCUUCUAUGAUCUUGAUGCUUUAAAUGAAGCUGCUUGGACAAGUGCCCAGAGCCAGUUGGUUCCCUGUAAUGUUUGUGGGCGUACCUUCCUGCCAGACAGACUGAUUGUUCACCAACGAUCUUGUAAACCCAAAGCCGCCAAGUAAAGCCCU
rnacentral:lncRNA from 1 species